rnacentral:rRNA from 1 species
CGUGUAGGCGGCUCGUGAAGUCAGGAGUGAAAGCCCGGGGCUUAACCCCGGGACUGCUUUUGAAACCAGCGGGCUUGAGUACAGGAGAGGGAAGUGGAAUUCCCAGUGUAGCGGUGAAAUGCGUAGUUAUAUUGGGAGGAACACCAGUGGCGAAAGCGGCUUCCUGGCCUGUAACUGACGCUGAGGCGCGAAAGCGUGGGGAGCAAACAGGAUUAGAUACCCUGGUAGUCCACGCCGUAAACGAUGGGUGCUAAGUGUUGGGGGUAUCGACCCCCUCAGUGCUGUAGUUAACGCAAUAAGCACCCCGCCUGGGGAGUACGUUCGCAAGAAUGAA